rnacentral:tRNA from 4 species
CCCCCUAUAACUUAAUGGUAAAGUAACUGCCUCUUAAGCAGUCUAUCUAGGUUCGAUUCCUAGUGGGGGGA